rnacentral:rRNA from 1 species
UCGAUUCCCUUAGUAGCGGCGAGCGAAACGGGAAGAGCCCAAACCAACAAGCUUGCUUGUUGGGGUUGUAGGACACUCUAUACGGAGUUACAAAGGACGACAUUAGACGAAUCAUCUGGAAAGAUGAAUCAAAGAAGGUAAUAAUCCUGUAGUCGAAAAUGUUGUCUCUCUUGAGUGGAUCCUGAGUACGACGGAGCACGUGAAAUUCCGUCGGAAUCUGGGAGGACCAUCUCCUAAGGCUAAAUACUCUCUAGUGACCGAUAGUGAACCAGUACCGUGAGGGAAAGGUGAAAAGCACCCCGGAAGGGGAGUGAAAUAGAACCUGAAACCGUGUGCUUACAAGUAGUCAGAGCCCGUUAAUGGGUGAUGGCGUGCCUUUUGUAGAAUGAACCGGCGAGUUACGAUUUGAUGCAAGGUUAAGCAGUAAAUGUGGAGCCGUAGCGAAAGCGAGUCUGAAUAGGGCGUUUAGUAUUUGGUCGUAGACCCGAAACCAGGUGAUCUACCCUUGGUCAGGUUGAAGUUCAGGUAACACUGAAUGGAGGACCGAACCGACUUACGUUGAAAAGUGAGCGGAUGAACUGAGGGUAGCGGAGAAAUUCCAAUCGAACCUGGAGAUAGCUGGUUCUCUCCGAAAUAGCUUUAGGGCUAGCCUCAAGUGAUGAUUAUUGGAGGUAGAGCACUGUUUGGACGAGGGGCCCCUCUCGGGUUACCGAAUUCAGACAAACUCCGAAUGCCAAUUAAUUUAACUUGGGAGUCAGAACAUGGGUGAUAAGGUCCGUGUUCGAAAGGGAAACAGCCCAGACCACCAGCUAAGGUCCCAAAAUAUA